rnacentral:rRNA from 1 species
GAACACCAGUGGCGAAGGCGACUUUCUGGACUGUAACUGACGCUGAGGUACGAAAGCGUGGGUAGCGAACAGGAUUAGAUACCCUGGUAGUCCACGCCGUAAACGAUGGAUACUAGGUGUAGGGGGUAUCGACCCCCCCUGUGCCGGAGUUAACGCAAUAAGUAUCCCGCCUGGGGAGUACGGUCGCAAGACUGAAACUCAAAGGAAUUGACGGGGGCCCGCACAAGCAGCGGAGCAUGUGGUUUAAUUCGAAGCAACGCGAAGAACCUUACCAGGGCUUGACAUCCCGAUGACCGGUACAGAGAUGUACCUUCCCUUCGGGCAUUGGAGACAGGUGGUGCAUGGUUGUCGUCAGCUCGUGUCGUGAGAUGUUGGGUUAAGUCCCGCAACGAGCGCAACCCCUAUCCUUAGUUGCCAUCAGUUAAAGCUGGGCACUCUAAAGAGACUGCCGGGGAUAACUCGGAGGAAGGUGGGGAUGACGUCAAAUCAUCAUGCCCCUUAUGUCCUGGGCUACACACGUGCUACAAUGGCCUGUAACAGAGGGAAGCGAAGCCGUAAGGCGGAGCAAAACUCAGAAACCAGGUCCCAGUUCGGAUUGUGGGCUGCAACUCGCCCACAUGAAGUCG